GUUGAGGGUGAUGCUCUGUAGGUGCGUUGAAUCCUAGUCUCUGCUCUGCCAUCGGGACCAUCGAGGCCGGGAGAUGGAGGGAAAGGCUGGAGUAUUUGCAGAAGAUUCUGCGAUUCCAGAUAAUAAAAGAUGUAUGUACCGGCUCCUGAAUAUAACAGGCAGCAUUGUCAGACCUGAGGCACACGGCUGCAGGGCUUUUUCUGAGAUCUGUAACCAGAAGGUGUUUGCAUGCCCAUGCCAAUGGUCUUUCUGAAGCCAUGGAGUGAAAAGAGAAUUUUCCCCAGAGGGCAGAAGAGUCUGUAUGUUGGAGCCAACCAGACGUUUCCCAGGCUCCGGUGUCGUCCUGUUCGCCAGCAAUGAGCAGAUGUUAGCUUCUUCUGAUGCACAAGGACGAAGGGUGCAAUGCUCUCACCAUCCUGAUGUCAUCUCCGAUGGUUAUUUUUGCUGUUCUUCUAAAUAAUAGGGUUUCUGGCAUGAAGACUUAUCUCAGGAUUCAGCCCAGCCGUGUUCUGAGAUCCCGGGCCCCGGCGCUGAUGGAUUGAUGCAGGUUGUGAUUCUCUGACUAAUUUGCUUUGAAUGAGGUGAACACUUGGGAAAACCAAAAUGUUAUUUCCAAGAUUUUACAUCCUAACGGGAAAUACAACAGGAAAUAGGGAGCAAAAAAAAAAAAUUAUUUUUCACUUCUGACUGUCAAAAUGGACUUUUUGUUUGUCGUUUAAAUUAAUUGGGGAAAAAAAGAUAACCCAGUUAUAUUUCUUCCUUCUUUACACAAAAAUUGCAAGACCUUGCAAUACUGUUUCUUCCCCUUUUGCUCACAUAAGUGAUUUUAAACAUUCUCCAUGUGGCUGGAAACGGAAUGAUUUCAUGGCUUCCCUAUUGUGCUCUGUGAACGUGUAGGUUAGCGCUGUUGCUCUGCACUUCUCUGCACACUUCUAUUAAGGAGCCCAGAACUGAACCUCUUUCAAAGGAGGUCACAACAGGGGAGGUCACCUGGAAACCCAGGACCAGAGGCAGAUGCCAUUCCUGACUGUCCCUCCUUUACUCCUGCGUGGCAAUGCCCGUCCCCCGAGGAGGCAGACGAGGAAACUUUGGUGGGGGUGGCUGGGUAACCUGUCUAAAGGAACAGAACCAGUAAGUGAGGAGCCCACGUCUGACCACUUGCUGGAAUCGUUCAUUGCUUCGAGUGCUUCAUUACAGCCCCGUGAGAGGUGGUGGGGGGAGUUCUGAGGACCAGCAGUUAGUGUUGGUCUGGACAUUUGGAUGAAAUGAGGUAAAACCUGUGGGAGGCUUUGGAUGAGUUUCUGCAAUAAAAUUACCUUUUUCUGAUUCUUCAGCCCAGAAAGUUCCUCAAAUAGACCCAACUCCAAGGGGCUUGCCCUCCCUCCCCUGGCUCUGUCAGGGAUGGCCCUCUGUAGGGUCUCAGUGGGGAGCAGCUCCCUGCGGCUCCCCGACCAGGGGAAGGAUGAGGGGAAGGACGAGGCUGCCCGGCUGCUGCUGACCGAGACCCAGCGGUCCAUAUAUUCCCCACCACCUGCCGGCUUCCCUUUCUUCACUUCAGCCAGUUUCCUUCUAACUCGGUGUGUUGGCGAAAAGGAAGAAGAAGACGUGAUUGAAAACUGGGUCACACGUCCCAUCAGCAUGCCCGAAGCACUCACAGGCACUCAGUAUGAUUUUUAAGAACUUCAGUAGAUCUGAACUUGGAAAUGACCCUUUAGUUAUUCUGUUCCCUUAAAAAAUAGGAUUGUUUGCAUGAGCAAGUCACACAAACUCUCCAGGCCUCACAGUCACCUAAACAUUGAAAUGGAGAGGGUGACUAACAUAAAUUUUUUAAAAUGAGGGUAUGCA